GCGAGUAUGGCCCUCACGGGUCUAAUCCACCAUAAACACCUUUGUGAACCAGUCAGGGGGACUCGGCCGUGAAAGCCCAGGCGAUUAGCGGAAGGGCCCUCCUUUGCAAAACCCGUUUAGAAGUCUUGAAAGUACUUCUGUAUAAUCUAGUA
rnacentral:misc_RNA from 1 species